UUAUAAUGUGCGCGUUUUGGUGCUCGCGCCUGCGUUCGCAGUCGCAGUUAAACGGGAAACACGAAGCUCCUUUCAAGGGCCAACGUGUGCUGCCCCCGCAACGGUAAGCAAGUGCCGCAUGCUCUCUUCGAGCCAUGCGGCAAACCGUCCCCUCAUACCACUGUGCGCAUGCAUGGGAAGGUCGGACGGCCAUACUUGUCAGCCCGGAUACCGGCCAAAAGGUGGCGUCGCCU
rnacentral:ncRNA from 2 species